AUUGAACGCUGGCGGCAGGCCUAACACAUGCAAGUCGAACGAGUGGCGGACGGGUGAGUACUGUCUGGGAAACUGCCUGAUGGAGGGGGAUAACUACUGGAAACGGUAGCUAAUACCGCUUACCCUCGGCUGUGCCCAGAGGGGAUUAGCUAGUAGGUGGGGUAAAGGCUAACCGAGACGACGAUCCCUAGCUGGUCUGAGAGGAUGACCAGCCACACUGGGACUGAGACACGGUCCAGACUCCUACGGGAGGCAGCAGUGGGGAAUAUUGCACAAUGGGCGCAAGCCUGAUGCAGCCAUGCCGCGUGUAUGAAGAAGGCCUUCGGGUUGUAAAGUACUUUCAGCGGGGAGGCGUUACCCGCAGAAGAAGCACCGGCUAACUCCGGGCCAGCAGCCGCGGUAAUAC
rnacentral:rRNA from 1 species